AUUAUACAUCAAAAUAAAAAGCUGCUAAAGUGGAAGAAAAUACAUGGCGUGCAAAUGUAUUAGCAAACUUAUGGUUGUGAUGAUGGAGUUGCUUAUCCUUAUUCUCCUAAAAGUGCAAGCUAAUGACCUUGCCCAUAUCUCUUUUCGUCCCUCUUCACCUCCGACCAUGCUUCCUUAUUUCUCUGAACUCGAUAAAGACCUUGCCCCUACCUCUUUUUCUUCGUCUCCACUUCUCGUCCUUGAUCCUCAAUCCUUUGAACUUGAUAAAGUUAAAAGAACAAUGUACAAUUGCCUUGAAGAUAAAAUUAAAAAUUGUGAAAAAAAAGGCGCACAAGGCACCUUGGAAUUCGAAGAAUGCAUAUUGAAAGCUCAUCGAAAAUGCUUGAUUAGGCAUCGAUAUCGCAAAAAAAUGACUUUUGAGAGUUCACACUGCUUACUUAAUUGCUUUGAGUAUCGAAGUCAUGAGAUUGGCGCAUGUUUCUUAGAAUGUUAUGAAAAGUAUUUCAAGACGCAAUAAGAUGUCGUUUAUACGUAGAAUCCCCUGUGUAAGGUCAGAUUCAUACGGAGGCUUCUUAGAGAAUGUGCAAGAGCAAGACUUGCUAGAUAACAUUUCUCGAUUGUCUAUUAUUUCAAAUAAUUUUGGUUUUUAGUUUUUGAAUAAUGUUAACUACGGAUGUUGUACUAGCUGAUUUGAUACUGUUAUAUUUUUUAGUUUUUAUGUUUGAAAAUUUUGUACCCACAAUUAUGUAAUUUGGGAGUUGAAUUUUUAAUUGGAUUUGUUGAUCUUGUUUUAUGUGUGA